GGGAAAAUAGGUGGAAAUUCAAAAAUCAAGUGAAAAAAAGGUGGUGAGUCAAUUAUUUCGGGUAAGAGACUGCACCCGAGGGCGAAAGAUAGGAGUAUUUCUACUCCUAAUACUGCUCAGGGAAUUCCAUAGUUAGCUGACUUUGACAAGGA